GCAGCAAGUUAUGUGUGCCUGCGUGCCCGUGUUCUCCCGUGGCAUUUGGCAGCGGGAGCUGCUCCUGUCGGCUGACGUUGGCCUCGAAUAGCACUCAGCUCCCACCCAAAACAGUGUCUGCUUGGAGGGCAGCUCAUGUCCUCAGCUGAGAAAAACCGAGCCAGCACACACGCGGCAGAGCUCUCACGCACCUAUCGCACAAUAAAACAUAUUUGCAAGACAGUUAUUUUAAUAGCAAUAUGCCCUAUAUGGAGACACAUUAUGAUGAGCUCAAUCUCGGCGCUGCUGUGGCAAGCAGAGAGCACAGCCAUAAGCAGAGCGGGUCAGUACCUCUCCCCGGGCUGCGUGAUGACCCAGAGUGUUUUACUGGAGGUACACGCUUCGGUGUGAGGGCCUGUCCUCAGCGGGCUGCAGCCAGAGCUCCCCUCUUCUGCACUCAGUCCCCCUCAGCACGCACUUUCUCUUGAGUUUCUGUUUGUCUUUGUGCCAUUUUUCCUAUUUUAAAACAGUGCAUGAAAUCAAGUACAAAAAUUAAUGGGCGUGCAAUGAAGACUCCUAUGCAAAGUUAAAUUAAAAAAACAAAAACAUUGAAAAUUGAGUAUUUAGCCUCACUUCUGCCACGGGGUGAAGCGCCCAACACCACCAGUGUCAUAGUCGUAUAUUCCCUCUCAAAUAAUGCAACAGAGAAUGCAGUUUCUUCCACAUGUGGGGAAGAAUCUUCAUCCCCGCGUGCUUCAGCUUACAACGUUUAAAGCAGGCCCCAAAUGCACGUUCAAAAUGUAUCCUCACUGAACCAAAGCCUUCUUCAAAAACGUCUUUGUGUAAAAGGCGGCAGUGUUACGGAGUGCACUGUUGUGCACAUAAAACUCCGUGCCUUUUCUCAGCACUGCUUUCCUGGCGUGUUCAAUAGUCAUACAGUGGCUUACGAAGAAAUCAGUCGUAUGGCCAAUUCGCAUCUGCUGGAAUUAUUAAAUAAUUAAAAAUAAUAAAGCAUUCAGCCUAAAAAAUGACAAUUUAAAAUCAGUAAUAUUGAUGUGGCCGAGUUUCAUCCAUCCUGAAAGGGAAACAGCUUUGACAAGACCAUAUUUUUAAAUAAAAUGAGUGUGGUAUUAUUCUAUCAGGUCUCUUUAAUUCCAGCAUCAUAAAAAUGUGGUAUAUCUUUAUUGAUAGACUUUAGCUGGUGAAUUCUCUUCUCCGCAGCAUAUAUAUGUUAAUGAUUUUCUCAGCACUGACAUACAAUACGUUUAACCAGAUGAUUUUUCCCUUCAUUCGGAGUUACCUCUCCGAGCAGUAAUUUAGUGGGCAGUUCUCAAAUGACAUCCCUGAGAAAUACACACACUGCAUUUUGUUAAGAGCGUGUUUUAAUGAUAUCUUGCUUGACCAUGUUUCUUUUUUGUAGAAUUGUAAAUAAUUCCUACUCUUCUCCUCAUCCGCAGCUGAAGGGAUACUAAGACUGCAGGAUGCCACCAAGCCCAGAGCGUUUGUGAUCACAGGUGACUUUGCAACAGGUUUUUAGUGACAAAAGAAAGCAGAAAAUCCUUUCCUUUGCGACAAACCACAAAAGAGACCUGAAAUUCUGAAUGUAUAUAUACACAGAUAUGUAUUCUUAAGAUGUCAUAGGAGAGAGCAGGAGGUACCUGGAGCCAGAGCAUCCCCCACUGCCAGGAGCCGCAGGGGCACAGAAGUGCAGUGCGUGAACAGUCACAGCUGAUCUCAGCGCAUUGCAAAUGUCACUCUAGUCAGGCAGUGGAUGUGCUCUCUUUAAUGAUAUUACUGAACAGAUUACAUAAAUGAGUGAGAAUUUAUGUACAGAAUUUGCAUGUGUUUGCAACUGAUCUGAAACUUAUAAAUACAUUUCUGUAUUUAUACGCACAAGUAAAUUAAUAUUGAUUUCCAACCACCAAAAUGGCAUUCAAGUGCAUGUUUCCAGGUGCAAAGUAUUUAGCCAGAGAGCAAAGCAAGUGAAUUUGCAAUGAGAACAGUAAAACUGUGGAUGCAGCUCUGGAAAGAAUGAUUUGUAUUGUUUGGCAGCAGCGCUGGGAGGCUGCAGACAUUGCUGGUCUCUCCUGUGCAGGGCACUGCACAGUCACGCUGCAGAGGGCCUUGUCCCAGCAGCCACCAAUGAAACAAGUGCCUCGGCACAGUGGCACUGGUCUGGUUCCCCAGUGGGUGCUCGUUCCCUGCCCCAAAGAGCUUUAUUGUGCUGGGUGCACAGCUCAACUAAAUGGGUAGGCCAUUAAAGAUUUACAAGCCAUUGACACUAGCUGGCUCAGGGACGUUGCAGCUACUGCAAGUGCAGUGCCCACUCCUGCGCUGCUUCGUUUUCAGCCCCUGCACCUCAUUACUUCCCUGAAUGGCUGUCAUCUGCACACACUGAGCACCCUGCUCCUUCAUAUCCUACCCCCAGCCCCACCAUAGCCACAAAGGACCAUCUCCCUGGCUUCCCACCUUCCUGGCCUGCAUCCAUUCAUCCCCUUACCUGACCCAGCGCUGGUGCAGAGCUGAGGCUGCAGGCACCCCCCCACGCUGCCAUCUCACUGCGCCCCCGGCCCAGGUGUGCACAUUUGAGGCCUGGCGAGGGUGGGGAACAGAGGAGCUGAUGGGGCUGUGUGGCUGGAGACCAAACCUCUCUCCUCCGCACUGGGGAAGGCAGCGCUUUACCAAGGCUUUGAUUUUUAACCAAGGUUUUACUAUCACCUCUCUAUGGAUUUACUUCCCUCUCCCCUCCACCCCCAACUCCUCCCGCUGUUUGGUGCAUUUUUCAUGGGUAUGCUUUGUUGUUUUUGGGUUGUUUUGUUGCUAUUGUUGCUUGCAGCCACUGGAGAGUUCCCCUUCCUCUGGUUAAUGGCCCAUUACCCAGCUCUCGCCAUGCAGGGGUAGGGCCUGGGAAUUGCUGAGUUCUGGAAAAUCCUCCCGAGCAGGGAGAGCUUUGCCAACAACAAAAUCCUCUCUUUUCAGAGAGGACUCUGCAAAACGGGGUGGUGAGGGGGAACAGUCCCCUGCAGGAGGGAUGGGAGCAGAGCCCACUGGACCGUGGGGUGAUCGUGGCUGUGCCAUUGCUGCCUCCUGAAAACAGGUGCUGGCUGUGGGGGAGAGGGGGGAGAGGAGAGAGCUGGAUUGUUAAAGGAUUCAAUGAGCUGUGCCCAAUGUAUUCGAAAGGUGCUUAAGACAGGCAAAGCUCCUCACCAAACACGGGCGGCCAGGAAGCAGCACAGUGCACAUCUAAGCGGAGGGCAUGCACCAAGCCCACCGGUGUGGGGACUGCCCCACUGCCUCACUCACAUCGCCCCACGGAAACACGCUGUGCCACACACCAGCCAUGGAGAUACUGCUCCCACCCUCAAUCAGAAUGGUUUGAUGGGCCUGCCCUUGUGUCAUGUAAGGCUGAAAGUAUCUAAAGGGGGCUGUAAGAAAGAAGAGGACAGAUUCUUCAGCAGAGUCUGUUGUGAUGGGACAAGGGGAAAUGGUUUCAGUCUAAAAGAGGGGAGAUUUAGACUGGGCAUAAGGAAGAAGAUGGUGAGGCAAUGGCUCAGGUUGCCCGGAGAGGUGGUCGGUGCCACAUCCCUGGAGACAUCCAAGGUCGGGCUGGAUGAGGCUCUGAACACCUGAUGGAGCUGUAGGUGGCUCUGUUCAUUGCAAGGGAGUCGGACCAGAUUGUCUUUAAAAGUCCCUUCCAACUCAAACAACUCUAUGAUUCACAGUGUGAUGCCUGCCCUGGUCCUGCUUGUAGCUUGUAUCAGAUCAGCUUUAUACCCAGGGUGGUCUGGGACUCACAUGCAGGGUGGGAAGGAGCCUUCCCUGUCUGUCUUUUGGCUCAGAGAAAGACCUAAAAAAAGGUUCAGUGGAGAUUCUGGUGAAAAGGAUGUCUGCAGGCCCACCCGGACCGCGCUCCAGUCACUCCCAAGCAGUGAAUUCACCUAGCUGAAACUCUGGAGAAAGUGAAAAAAAUAAAUAUAGAGAGUCAGAAACUACCCUACCGACCGCUCGCGCUGUUUGACAUUAAAAAGUGCUGACAGCAGAGAGGGAGGAGAGGGAUGGAAGAAGGGCCACUUUCAUCUCAUACAGUCUCCUGCCAGCCCCAGCCACCACGUCUCCCUCUCACCCCCCUCCUGGCCCCUUGCUUUCCAAGGCAUUUUAUUAAAUAGGGUCACAGCCUGCAUUAGAGUCCCUCCCACAGCCCCGGCCAAAGGAAAACACUCUCCUGUCCCACUGACCCCCACCCGCCCAGAUCUCCGGCUCCAUGGCCGCUUUCCCCUGUCAAGAAGUGCGAUCCCCAUCCCACGGCAACCUUGAAGUUGCACAGCAAAACGUCAGGGCAGAGGGCUUCGGGGAGGGGGAAGGUCUCCCUCGUUUCUCUUUCUCUUACAUUAAUUAUCUCAUUCAGUUGAAAGAAAAGUCCAAAAAUUGAGCGUUCUCCUGGCAAUUUAUGAUGCUGGAGUGGUAAUUUAUGGCUCAAUACCACUUUACUUUACUCAUUCUUUACACGCACAUGCAGGUACACACACGUAUACUUACACUUAAGGAGACACUAACCUGAAUUUAUCACGCUAAAGUACCGGCCUGCUACAAGUAAAAGGAUGAACAUAAUUCACGAGGUAGGACAGGGAGGUGUGCACGUGUGGGGGGAAACGUUUAGAAGAGUUAAUGUUUGAAAGUUGGUCUUUGAAGGCAGAGGCUCCUCUGGAUAGAAAAAGAAAACCUAACUAAUUAAAACUGAUGUAUCAGUUUCAGAAGAAGAAUGUGCUGGUAACGAAACUGCACGGGCAAAAACAACAGAUUGAAGGCCACAGGACUCUUUCCGGUGACUUGGACCUGACUUGGACCUGGGUCGCAUAGCAAGCAAAUGCCAUUAAAUCGAUGUCAGCUGAGUGCCAGGACGAAGGAGAGAGCGCGAAAUCCGGCUGCGUAAAUCAGGGACGCCGCCAGCGUCUGUGCUAACAGUUGAAGCUGGAAUCCUGGGGGGCCGGAGGGAAAGCUUAUAGAGGACGCACGUGCAGCGCAGGUACCUGUUGUAUUUUCCUCCUCGGCAGAUCUGCCUGUACGGCUUCUCUGGGACGUUUCAGCCUGUCGGGCUGCACAGGAGCUCCACGGGCUCGCUCGUUCCCGGCCAGCUGUGUGCCUGUGGCGGAGCGGAGCAGCCGGGCGAGCACACGAGGAUGCUGGAGCGCUCUGCAACACUCCCUUUCAUUCCCACCCAUGCCCUGCAAACGUGCGUGUGGCUAAAUGCACGCUCCGGCCCUCAUUUUUACCCCUCGCUCAAAUGCUGACAGCCAGUUCCCUCUCUGCUACUCGCUGGUAAUAAUUAAUCUGAAGCGAUACCGAGAUUUGGGAAAUGGCACCAGGGAUAAUUCCCCAAAUUUGUUACGAAGACAAUGGGAAGGGGAACAAUGUAUUCAUGCAGACAAAGGGGAGGGAGUGUGUGGCUGUCUGAUUUUCCAGGGGUUUGGACUUCUUUCUGUUUCCUGCUCUUUUCUUUUCUGCUUGUCUUCCAGUGACGGGAGUGAAGAGCCCUCAACAUUAACCAAAACUGGGGAAAAAACAUACUACAUGCGAGAUGGGAAGGGAUCUGUUUGCUUAGUUUAUUAACAAGGUCCAGGGGCGACUUGCUUCUGCACAUGCACUUCUUCCUAGGGAAGAAAUAUCAGGUACCGAAGAACUCUCUAAUCUCCCAGAGAAAGCCGUAACAAGAACUGACGGAUAAAUGCCGAAGCCAGACAAGUCCCAAUUAAAAAAUAAAGAAGGGAACUAUUUUUAUUUGCUUUAUUUUGUACAAGGAAGUCGGGGCAAUGAAGCAUUUGAGCCGGCUGUUACAGGAAGUGCUGGAGUCUCCCUGUCUCAGCCUCUUUGGAUAAAGACUUGUGUUCCUUCUGGGAGCACAGCUUGACUCACACAACUUAUUGUACGCUGCUCAGGGGCAGCAGGGUGAAUGUCUGUGGCCCACAUUACGCAGACAGUCCAAUAAAAUCAUCCGAAAAUGUUCUGUUUAAACUGUGUAAAGACUUUUAGCCUCUGCCUGUUUUACACUGAGGGCUUAAUUAAAAAAAAAAAAAUCAAAAUAAAAAAAUAAUAAAAAAAUCAGGAAUAUGAG
ensembl:lncRNA